rnacentral:sRNA from 1 species
UCAGCUUCAGAAGCCCGCCGGAAGUCAG